AUCUCCCCACAGAGAAAGUCAACACAGUUUGGCCUUUACUGAAGAUGAGAAAACCCAUACAUUUGGGCUCUUGAGUAAUUGAAUGAUUUUCAUGAAUGUAAAGGAUGUCCAUAGACCAACAUUUUACACAUCAACCAAUGUGCUCUUUGGUCCAAUAUUGAUAGGAAGCCAAUGAGGAAAAACUAUACUGCAGACGAGAUGAACACCUCCAUCCAUGUGCUUUAACUGACUACUUUGUGGCACAGGACCACUGGACUGGACACGAGACUGGACAUAAGACAGGACACAGGACACAAAGCCAAGAGAGCACCAAAACAAAGAGAAACGUACAAAAGGAGUAACAGUACGAAAGAGACAUCUAAAAGAUAACAACAAAGAUGGACACCCUGGAUGCCUCCGCUCUCCCAGGUACCACCUCCGCUGUGACCUAUGACUCCAAAUCAGAGAUGGUGACCCUACCAGGAGGGGUUGUCUCCGUGGCAGGCAUCACCAUGAUAACCGGGGGCGCUGAACGUUCUUGUGGCUCCUGCAUGCUAGCCUUUGGUGUUUGGGGCACUCUGAUUGGCCUAAGCGUGGUUGCCGUGGGAAUCUGGGACCAAUCAAUGCAGAUCGGGGGCCAGACCUCGCACCUCCUGGGGCUGGGAUUGGUGGUUCUGGCUAUCAGUUUUGGGGUUGUGGGCAGUGUUGUGGGCUUUCGCUUCCUGACGAAGAGGAGGAGAGAGAUAACGAGGGAGGAGAGGGAGGAUGGGAAGGUGGUGCUCAUAGGGGAGAGAGGGAGGAGUGUUAUAAAAACUGUGACUGUGUAAAAAUGAAAAAAAGAGAUAGGAAUAUGUUUUCAAGUCAUGAUUAUUGCACAAAGUCACACAUUAGUAUUUAGUGGAAGAACAGUCAUGUUUUAUAUGUAUGUUAUGAAUUUAUUCCACACCAUAAAAAUGUACUUUGGUUGAGUAAUUUUAAGAUAAAAUAUUUGACAAUCUCUGGC